rnacentral:rRNA from 1 species
CCGCCUGAAGGCAGGGGCCAUCCGAAACUAGAGAGUAAUUUUGAAGACGUCUUGGAGGCCGCCUGAUCAAUUGAAAGUAUAGCGGGGUUUUUACGCCCCAAACUACGGAUGUCGUGUUCACCACAGGGACUAGGCGACAACGACUAUACUAGGCUAAAACUAGGUGACAAUUCAGAUGAAGAUCGCAAGAAAAUAUAAACCUAAAAUAACCAAGGACAGUGACAAAUAAAAUUUGACAAGCAGUAAGGAGAGAGUACUAGUUGUCUAUUUGAUAUUUUUAUUAGGCAGGAGAAAUUAGAGACUAAAACAAAAGGAAAAUAACAUGAUAAAGACACAUAUAUAACUAUCAAACAUCUAACAAAGGAAAGAAACAAGAUAAUAUGACAGGGACAAAUAUAUAUCACAGCACAAACAUAUAUAUUUUCACAUGAACAUAGUUGACGUUGGAACUACAGUACACACAUAGCCACACAUAUGGGCACAAGGUACUACACCAAGGUUCAGGUUACACGAGUGACAACACAAACGAAAUUACACAAGCCACUAAACUAGUACUCGCAUAUCAACAGAAUAUUACUAAACCACUUUAAUACUGGACAGUUCACCAAUUCUUACAAGGCAUCGUACAAUAUUUUUGCAAGAAAAAGAGAGAGAGAAGCAGCAGUUUGGGAUUCAGAGAAGUACAGGAUCAACAACAGGUAAAGAACACCAGCAGGUUGUUUUCUUCAGUAAAGGAACACUAGCAAGGAAAGGGAAUAGGAGCAGCGUGGGGAUAGGAUAAGAAGCAGUAGGAGGAGGUUGGGAGAGCAGCAGCAGGGGCGAGGGAAGGAGCGGCAAAGACGUGGAGAAAGGGAGUAGCAGUAGCCGCAGGAGAGGAAGCAAGCAGAAGGGCACAGGAGAAGGAGAAGGAGAAGAAGCAGCAGCAGAUUGGCGAUGGGGAAGAAGAGGAGUAGCAGAGGAGAAGUUCACAGGUGGAGGAGCAGCAGUGAGGCAAGAGAAGAUGGAGCAGCAGAUGUCGGGCGCAAGUAGAGAAUCAGCAGGGACGUCGGAAAAGCAGCAGCAGCGUGGGGAUGGUCGCGCGAGGCACCAGUCAACCUUGAUCCCAUAGUCUGGAAGGGUGCGCGAGAUGGUGAUGGUGGUGUGGGGCGCCGGGUGAUGGAGUGGCUAGUGGGAGGUGGUGAUGCGGAUGGAUGGAUGGUGAUGAAGUGGUGCUGGUGGCGCGCCGCCAUGCUGGCCUGGCCGCGGCGGCGGCCGGCGGUGGAGAAGAUGGGGAGAGGGAGAGAGGUGAGAUGUGCCAGGCCUGGAGGGGAUCGGUGGCUGCGCUAGGGAUUUUUACCCCUCGAUCUGAUCUGCAAAGUUUACACAUUAACCCUCUUCCUUCUCUUCUUUCUUCACAAGAAGGUCCUCCCACUUCUUUAUCUAGCCCCCUAGUUACUUCUCUUCAUCUCACACAAGUCUCUUCUUCCUUCUCUUCUCUUCUUCACUCUUCUCAAUAGCCACAUAGACGGAAUCUUGACGAUUAUUA